AUUGAACGCUGGCGGCAGGCCUAACACAUGCAAGUCGAGCGGAUGAAGGGAGCUUGCUCCUGGAUUCAGCGGCGGACGGGUGAGUAAUGCCUAGGAAUCUGCCUGGUAGUGGGGGAUAACGUCCGGAAACGGGCGCUAAUACCGCAUACGUCCUGAGGGAGAAAGUGGGGGAUCUUCGGACCUCACGCUAUCAGAUGAGCCUAGGUCGGAUUAGCUAGUUGGUGGGGUAAAGGCCUACCAAGGCGACGAUCCGUAACUGGUCUGAGAGGAUGAUCAGUCACACUGGAACUGAGACACGGUCCAGACUCCUACGGGGUGCAGCAGUGGGGAAUAUUGGACAAUGGGCGAAAGCCUGAUCCAGCCAUGCCGCGUGUGUGAAGAAGGUCUUCGGAUUGUAAAGCACUUUAAGUUGGGAGGAAGGGCAGUAAGUUAAUACCUUGCUGUUUUGACGUUACCAACAGAAUAAGCACCGGCUAACUUCGUG
rnacentral:rRNA from 1 species